rnacentral:rRNA from 1 species
AGAGUUUGAUCCUGGCUCAGAUUGAACGCUGUCGGCAUGGCUAAAACAUGCAAGUCGAACGAGAACCUCGCAAGAGGGGACAGUGGCGGAAGGGUGAGUAAUGCGAUCGAACGUACCCCAAGGUGGGGGAUAGGCAGGGGAAACUCUGCGUAAUACCCCAUGUGCUCUCCGGAGGAAAGGUUUACCGCCUUGGGAGCGGCGAUCGUCCUAUCAGGUAGUUGGCGGGGUAAUGGCCCACCAAGCCGAAGACGGGUAGCCGGUAUGAGAGUACGGCCGGCCACAUCGGGACUGAGACACUGCCCGGACUCCUACGGGAGGCUGCAGUAACGAAUAUUCCGCAAUGGGCGCAACGCCUGACGGAGCAAUGCCGAGUGCAGGAUGAAGCGGCUUCGCCGUGUAAACUGCUGUCAGGGGUCAGAAACACUGAUCGACCCCAGAGGAAGAGGCGGCUAACUCUGUGCCAGCAGCCGCGGUAAUAC